GACGAACGCUGGCGGCGUGCUUAACACAUGCAAGUCGAACGGAAAGGCCCUGCUUUUGUGGGGUGCUCGAGUGGCGAACGGGUGAGUAACACGUGAGUAACCUGCCCUUGACUUUGGGAUAACUUCAGGAAACUGGGGCUAAUACCGGAUAGGAGCUCCUGCUGCAUGGGGGGGGUUGGAAAGUUUCGGCGGUUGGGGAUGGACUCGCGGCUUAUCAGCUUGUUGGGGGGGUAGUGGCUUACCAAGGCUUUGACGGGUAGCCGGCCUGGGAGGGUGGCCGCCCACAUUGGGCCUGAGGUACGGCCCAGACUCCUACGGGAGGCAGCAGUCGGGAAUAUUGCACAAUGGGCGGAAGCCUGAUGCAGCAACGCCGCGUGCGGGAUGACGGCCUUCGGGUUGUAAACCGCUUUCGCCUGUGACGAAGCGUGAGUGACGGUAAUGGGUAAAGAAGCACCGGCUAACUACGUG
rnacentral:rRNA from 1 species